rnacentral:pre_miRNA from 1 species
AGCUUUUUGAAUCCGUGCGCAGAUUUCGUCAGACACUAAUCCAUCAAGUCUGAUCACACAUCCAAGAUUAGUCAAGCU